rnacentral:rRNA from 1 species
CCUACGGGUGGCUGCAGUGGGGAAUCUUGCGCAAUGGACGAAAGUCUGACGCAGCGACGCCGCGUGGGUGAAGAAGGCCUUCGGGUUGUAAAGCCCUGUCGAGUGGGAAAAAUGGCGCCUAGAAUAAUACGCUAGGCGAUUGAUGGUACCACUAGAGGAAGCACCGGCUAACUCCGUGCCAGCAGCCGCGGUAAUACGGAGGGUGCAAGCGUUGUUCGGAAUUAUUGGGCGUAAAGGGCAAGUAGGUGGUCUUGUAAGUCUACUGUGAAAUCCCU